AACGCACAUUGCGCCCCUUGGUAUUCCGGGGGGCAUGCCCGUUCGAGCGUCAUUACACCCCUCAAGCCUCGCUUGGUGUUGGGCCCCGGGGCGACCCGGGCCUUGAAGUCGUCGGCCGGACCGUCCGGAUCGCAGCGUCGUGAAUCAACUCGCUGGCGGGAAGGGCGAUGCGCGCCGGAAUCGUUAUUCAUUCAGGUUGACCUCGGAUCGGGUAGGGAUACCCGCUGAACUUAA
rnacentral:misc_RNA from 1 species